rnacentral:rRNA from 1 species
UACGUAGGGUGCAAGCGUUGUCCGGGAUUAUUGGGCGUAAAGAGCUCGUAGGCGGUUUGUCGCGUCUGCCGUGAAAGUCCGGGGCUCAACUCCGGAUCUGCGGUGGGUACGGGCAGACUAGAGUGAUGUAGGGGAGACUGGAAUUCCUGGUGUAGCGGUGAAAUGCGCAGAUAUCAGGAGGAACACCGAUGGCGAAGGCAGGUCUCUGGGCAUUAACUGACGCUGAGGAGCGAAAGCAUGGGGAGCGAGCAGG